GAUGAACGCUAGCGGCAGGCCUAACACAUGCAAGUCGAGGGAGAGGUUACCUUCGGGUAACCAAAACCGGCGCACGGGUGCAUAACGCGUAUACAAUCUGCCUUUCACAUAGGGAUAGCCCGAAGAAAUUUGGAUUAAUACCUAAUGGUAUAUAAGAGCGGCAUCGUUUUUAUAUUAAAGCUACGGUGGUGAAAGAUGAGUAUGCGUUCUAUUAGCUAGUUGGAGAGGUAACGGCUCCCCAAGGCGACGAUAGAUAGGGGUUCUGAGAGGGAUGUCCCCCACACUGGUACUGAGAUACGGACCAGACUCCUACGGGAGGCAGCAGUGAGGAAUAUUGGACAAUGGUCGGAAGACUGAUCCAGCCAUGCCGCGUGCAGGAUGAAGGUCCUAUGGAUUGUAAACUGCUUUUGUAAGGGAAGAAUAAGGAGUACGUGUACUUUGAUGACGGUACCUUACGAAUAAGCAUCGGCUAACUCCGUGCCAGCAGCCGCGGUAAUACGGAGGAUGCGAGCGUUAUCCGGAAUCAUUGGGUUUAAAGGGUCCGUAGGCGGGCUGAUAAGUCAGAGGUGAAAGCGCUUAGCUCAACUAAGCAACUGCCUUUGAAACUGUCAGUCUUGAAUGAUUGUGAAGUAGUUGGAAUGUGUAGUGUAGCGGUGAAAUGCUUAGAUAUUACACAGAACACCGAUAGCGAAGGCAUAUUACUAACAAUUUAUUGACGCUGAUGGACGAAAGCGUGGGGAGCGAACAGG
rnacentral:rRNA from 1 species